rnacentral:rRNA from 1 species
GUGGGGAAUUUUGGACAAUGGGCGCAAGCCUGAUCCAGCAAUGCCGCGUGCAGGAAGAAGGCCUUCGGGUUGUAAACUGCUUUUGUACGGAACGAAACGGCUCUGGUUAAUACCCGGGGCUAAUGACGGUACCGUAAGAAUAAGCACCGGCUAACUACGUGCCAGCAGCCGCGGUAAUACGUAGGGUGCAAGCGUUAAUCGGAAUUACUGGGCGUAAAGCGUGCGCAGGCGGUUGUGUAAGACAGGCGUGAAAUCCCCGGGCUCAACCUGGGAAUUGCGCUGGUGACUGCACAGCUGGAGUGCGGCAGAGGGGGAUGGAAUUCCGCGUGUAGCAGUGAAAUGCGUAGAUAUGCGGAGGAACACCGAUGGCGAAGGCAAUCCCCUGGGCCUGCACUGACGCUCAUGCACGAAAGCGUGGGGAGCAAACAGGAUUAGAUACCCGUGUAGUCC